AUUGAACGCUAGCGGGGUGCUUUACACAUGCAAGUCGAACGGAGUGGCGGACGGGUGAGUAAUAUAUCGGAACGUGCCCAGUAGCGGGGGAUAACUACUCGAAAGAGUGGCUAAUACCGCAUACUGUUGUAGCGGCCGAUAUCGGAUUAGCUAGUUGGUGGGGUAAAGGCUCACCAAGGCAACGCUCCGUAGCUGGUUUGAGAGGACGACCAGCAACACGGGAACUGAGACAGGGCCCAGACUCCUACGGGAGGCAGCAGUGGGGAAUUUUGGACAAUGGGGGAAACCCGGAUCCAGCCAGCCCGCGUGUAUGAUGAAGGCCUUCGGUCUGUAAAGUACGUUGUGCAGAGAAGCGGUAUCUGCAGAAUAAGCAACGGCUAACUACGUGCCAGCAGCCGCGGUAAUUC
rnacentral:rRNA from 1 species